UACGUAGGGUGCGGGCGUUAAUCGGAAUUACUGGGCGUAAAGCGUGCGCAGGCGGCGCGUUAAGUCAGGUGUGAAAGCCCCGAGCUUAACUUGGGAAUUGCGCUUGUGACUGGCGUGCUGGAGUGUGGCAGAGGGAGGUGGAAUUCCACGUGUAGCAGUGAAAUGCGUAGAGAUGUGGAGGAACACCGAUGGCGAAGGCAGCCUCCUGGGCCAGCACUGACGCUCAUGCACGAAAGCGUGGGGAGCAAACAGG
rnacentral:rRNA from 1 species